rnacentral:rRNA from 1 species
AUUGAACGCUGGCGGCAUGCCUUACACAUGCAAGUCGAACGGCAGCACGGGAGCAAUCCUGGUGGCGAGUGGCGAACGGGCGAGUAAUGUAUCGGAACGUGCCCAGUCGUGGGGGAUAACGUAGCGAAAGCUACGCUAAUACCGCAUACGAUCUAUGGAUGAAAGCGGGGGAUCGCAAGACCUCGCGCGAUUGGAGCGGCCGAUAUCAGAUUAGGUAGUUGGUGGGGUAAAGGCUCACCAAGCCGACGAUCUGUAGCUGGUCUGAGAGGACGACCAGCCACACUGGGACUGAGACACGGCCCAGACUCCUACGGGAGGCAGCAGUGGGGAAUUUUGGACAAUGGGCGCAAGCCUGAUCCAGCAAUGCCGCGUGCAGGAUGAAGGCCUUCGGGUUGUAAACUGCUUUUGUACGGAACGAAACGGCGAGCUCUAAUACAGUUUGCUAAUGACGGUACCGUAAGAAUGAGCACCGGCUAACUACGUGCCAGCAGCCGCCGUAA